rnacentral:tRNA from 1 species
ACACUGGUGGUUCAGUAGUAGAAUUCUCUCCUCUCAUGUGGGAGACCUGGGUUCGAUUCCCAGCCAAUGCA